GGCCGGCUGGCCUAAUGGUUAAGGCGUUAGUUUCCGGUUGACGAGACAGCUAAAGAUUCCGAGUUCGACUCUCGGGUUGGUCG